GGUUAAGCGAAUAAGCGUACACGGUGGAUGCCUAGGCAAUCAGAGGCGAUGAAGGACGUGCUAAUCUGCGAAAAGCGUCGGUAAGGUGAUAUGAACCGUUAUACCCGACGAUAUCCGAAUGGGGAAACCCAGUAUCCAAUGGAUACUAUCAUUAACUGAAUCCAUAGGUUAAUGAGGCGAACCGGGAGAACUGAAACAUCUCAGUACCCCGAGGAAAAGAAAUCAACCGAGAUUCCCCUAGUAGCGGCGAGCGAACGGGGAGCAGCCCAGAGUCUUAAUCAAUAGCAGUGUCAGGAGAACGGUCUGGAAAGUCCGGCAGUAAAGGGUGAUAGCCCCGUAUCUGAAGAUGCUGUUGUUGUGAACUCGACGAGUAGGGCGGGACACGUGUUAUCCUGUCUGAAUAUGGGGGGACCAUCCUCCAAGGCUAAAUACUCCUGAUUGACCGAUAGUGAACCAGUACCGUGAGGGAAAGGCGAAAAGAACCCCGGCGAGGGGAGUGAAAAAGAACCUGAAACCGUGUACGUACAAGCAGUAGGAGCCCCAUCACUCAAGUGCCUCGCACUGAGUGAUGCAAGAACAUCACCGAAAAUAGCGCCGAAUUUGCUAACAAGGUUGGUCGAUUUUUUCAAGCCGUCGCGCAGUGUACCUAGAAGUACACGAGCAACGGAAGUUAAAAAAUCGGGCAAGAUUGAACGCAAAGGCAAGCGGGACAUUUGAGGAUGGGGUGACUGCGUACCUUUUGUAUAAUGGGUCAGCGACUUAUAUUCUGUAGCAAGGUUAACCGUAUAGGGGAGCCGUAGGGAAACCGAGUCUUAACUGGGCGAAUGAGU
rnacentral:rRNA from 1 species